AAUAAGUGUAGUUUUACACUAUUCACGCUCAACGUUUGAUCGUUCGUCUUAUUUGAAUUUUUUUUAUGAUUAGUAUUUUUAUUGCUAUUAGAUGAUAAAACAUGAAUAGUACUUUAUGUGUGACUAAAUAUUUUUAAAUUUUUCAUAAUUUUUUAAAAUAUGACGAACGGUUAAACAUUAGGCACGGAUAUAUACUACUAUACUUAUU
rfam:Oryza glaberrima chromosome 4 Oglab04_0245_18, whole genome shotgun sequence.